UGUUUCACAAAGAGUUUAACAUGAGCCAGACUGUACAACAGAGAUAGAAAUCUAAUCACAUCCAUACAGGGAUAGUAACAUACAGCUGUUAUACACAUAU